CUAAUUGUUGCAACCAAACAACCCCUUAAAAUUUUCUCUGUUCAUACAGAAAUAUUUCUGAUGAAUAAACAGUAUAUGAUUAGGGCCGCCAUCAUCCGCCGCCCCGUCGCUACCAGAUUCAACGUCCCUCCGACAACAAUGCCAUCAUGGUUACGGCGGCUGAUUCACUAACCAAUAACUCAGUCCUGAUACACAAAUUCUCAGUUAAGGAGGACGAACAGUACGAAAAAGUUGAGGUUGAAGAAGAAAAUGGCGAAGGAUCAGCUCCAUUCGAGGAUGUAGAUCAUAAAAAAAAAAAAUGAAAUCUCCAUCUAGAUGCUUGGACUGGACAUAUUUCCUUGGAAGCAGGUGUUUCAGGAAGCAGUAGAUCCUAAUGUCGCAAUAUGCUCGCUGGAGCAAUGGAAACUUCUGGGGCGUCAAUAUUUGAAGGGAUUGCCGGAGAUAGACAGAGUAACUCAGCUACUUAAGAAGGUAAUGAGUAGGGUUUGAAUUAUGAUACUGUCCUUAUCAUAUGAAAAGAGUCAAUUUCAUAGAAUUCAAUGGCCGUCUGCAUAUACUUUCGAAGACUUAGACUCCCUCCUGCUUUGGAUGGAUAGCAAACCCGUAGAGCUACAACUUCCACAGCUUUUAUAAUUCAGCAGAUGCUUUAUCUGUAGUAAUGAUACUGAACAGGCGAAUGAAGCCUUUACAAGCCGGAGAAGGUGAAUGAUCUAGCAGGCGGCCAGUUGGAAGGAGAAACCUGAGACGUUAGAUGAGAAUGUAAGACUCAAUUAUUCGCCUUUUGGUGUGAUCUUAAGAUCUAAAAGACCGAUAUUUCAAUGGACUUUUUUGAACACUUUGUAUCGUGGGCGAGCUAGGGUAUCAAAAGAGGGUUCAUCCAAACCUCCUUUGACGAAAAUAAGGGUACCAAUCCAAUUUAUUCCUAUUUUGAAUGUGUUUUAAAGUUCUACCUUUAGAAAAAGUAUAGCAUUUGUUAAUUGUAGGAACAAAGGAACCAACUAAUCCCCUAUGGAAAGUAGAAUGAAAAAGGAGCUAAUCUUGUAUGAGAAUCUGGCAUUCAAUGGCCACAAUCAAAAGUGAAAUUUUCACUUUAUACAUAAAAAAAAAUUCUUCUUAAA